rfam:Clostridium acetireducens DSM 10703 CLAC_contig000019, whole genome shotgun sequence.
UCACAGGAUUUUCUAAAAUCCAUAAUAAAUCCUAUAUUAUUUUUUAU